CGCUCCUCCCCGGAGCGUAUGGCAGCGCAGCGCCGGACGGGGCGUUCUCCCUCCCCCCCUCCUCUCGCUUCCAUCUCCGCCGUCUCCUCGGUCUCCCUUCCCAUCCCGGCCCCUCCUCCGCCAGCCGCGUCCUCCCGGGCUUGGUGAGGAACUGUUCCUGGAGGAGCCGCGGGACGCCAAAACCAGCCAAUGGGAAGCGGCGAUUCGCGGAGAUUGGCACUGAUGAUGGGAAGUUGCAGCAGCCUAGGAGGAAAGCAGCAGAGAAAGACAACCUGUGACCCUACUGAGCUGCAGGCAGAAGAAUCUUCUUUGUACUGCUCGAGGUCAAGAAUGUGUUUACCCCCUGGCCUAAUGCUCUGAACUUUUGCAUCUGAGUGCAGGACUUCAGGACCUCUGAAGGCCACCACGCAGUGGAAUGAAGCUCCCUAGCAGAAGCAACUGGAUUAAACGUGCAACAAGACCAGUCCACACCAGCCCCCCAAGUCACUGAACUCAAUGACAUCAUGCCCAGGCAGAGAAAGUCAACAGGCCUCUGGCCCGGGUCCCCUCCACUCCUCUCAUUUCUUCUGCCUCUCGCUGUUCUUAACCCAGGGACAGUAUUUAGAAAGCAGAGCGGGUUCAGGCAGCCCUCUCAAUUACUUUGGCUGGAACCUUCCUGAGUACAUUUUGCUAUCUCUUUGUGAUGUAAACAGGGGCAUUCACAGUUGGCAGGGGAUGCUCUUUCUGUUUUAAUUACACAUGGCAUAAUUAUAGUCCCAGGGUCUGGAAACAGCACAAAGUUCUUUGGAGAACUUCAUAGGGAUUUUUCUGUUAUGACAUAGUUUAUCAGGAGAAAAAAAAGUAAGGCAAAAGACAUUUCCAAAGAGGAACGAACAACACUAUUUAUACUAGCAUUCCAUUCCCUAAUGAGCAGAUCACAAAAUUGGAGUAGACAUUUUUUCUGGAGGCGGGGGUGGAGUUUCAAAAUUUUGGACUCAUGGACAGUGGUGGCAAAAUCUAGAUAAAUACUAAUGAAUGGAUGUGGGUGGAGAAGGAUAUAUACGUAAAUUUUUUUUACUUAAGAAAGCAAUUAGAAGGCAUCCAGCUGUAUCUGAGGGAAUUUGCACGUACCCUGGACCCUGAGGAUAUGGAAAAAGAUUCUACCAUAGUCAUAGUAAUCUGGCCUAAACCUGAGUCGUAAAAUUCUCUCUGCCCCCAGAUGUGCAGUAUGAGGGCACUUCAUUACUCUGCUGAUGUAGUGAGAAAUCGCAGAACUGCCAUGGUAAUGGAGAGUGCAGUGACAGAGAUGGGGAGAGACGGCUGUUUCUCUGUUAUGAAACAUGUUUUCAUAGGUAAUUCUGAUGUACAGUAGGUAUUAAAUAGAGCAACGAAAAGAUGUUUUAUUUUAGAUUACUGCUAGAGUGAUAUUUCCCCCAUGGCACUAAUAAUCUGGCUGCUUUCUAAAGCCUAUUUCCUCUCCCAGUUUCUCAUAGACUCCCAGCACUGUUUUGGCAGAAGGGUAAGCCAUUGCAUUGAAAUUUCUGCCUUGGAAAAGUAGAAGAUCAACUUUAUAUAUUAUGCAUUUUAUAUUUAGACUAGAGGGACAUGGUGCAUUUUUUUCUGGUGGGGAGGAAGAUAUUAAAUAAGUUCUGCUUUUGCAAUGUAGAGAUAGGAAUAUAUAUAGGGGGUAAAAAUAUUUCAAGAACGGCUUUUUGUAAUUGAGUGAUUUUUUUUUUUCUAAGACAGAGUCUUGCUCUGUUGCCCUGGCUGGAGUAUAGUGGCACAAUCUUGGCUCACUGCAACCUCCGCCUCCCAGGUUUGAGCGAUCCUCCUGCCUCGGCCCCCCUAGUAGCUGGGAUUACAGGCACGCACCACCAUGCCCAGCUAAUGUUUGUGUUUUUAGUAGAGACAGGGUUUUGCCAUGUUGGCCAGGCUGGUCUCAAACUCCUGACCUCAGGUGAUCCACCUGACUUACCCUCCCAAAGUGUUGGGAUUAUAGGCGUGAGCCACUGUGCCCAACCUCGAGUGAUCAUUUAAGACACCCCUGUAUGCAUGCAUGCUGGUUUGAAAUCCAGGGGACACACCACUUCAGCCUAGCCUCUCUGCUGUCUGUAUCACGGAGGACUCACAGACCUAGUUUAAUUGUAUGCUUCUUACAUAUUUCAAGGCUGACACAGGAACAGCAAUAAGAGGCCUGUGGUUGAAACCACAUCGUUUUCAUCACAGUGGAAAAAAAAUAAGGUCAUUGCAGGUUUGGAGCAUGGUUAGGUUUGAGCCUGCCCACAUUAUUUUAUUCAUGUUAAAAUAUAAAGAGAUGGCCGGGCGCGGUGGCACACGCCUGUAAUCCCAGCACUUUGGGAGGCCGAGGCGGGCGGAUCACGAGGUCAGGAGAUCGAGACCAUCCCGGCUAAAAAAACGGUGAAACCCCGUCUCUACUAAAAAUACAAAAAUU
rnacentral:lncRNA from 10 species